rnacentral:rRNA from 1 species
UACAGAGGGUGCAAGCGUUAAUCGGAAUUACUGGGCGUAAAGCGCGCGUAGGUGGUUCGUUUAAGUUGGAUGUGAAAGCCCCGGGCUCAACCUGGGAACUGCAUCCAAAACUGGCGAGCUAGAGUAUGGGUAGAGGGUGGUGGAAUUUCCUGUGUAGCGGUGAAAUGCGUAGAUAUAGGAAGGAACACCAGUGGCGAAGGCGACCACCUGGACUGAUACUGACACUGAGGUGCGAAAAGCGUGGGGAGCAAACAGGAUUAGAUACACGGUAC